UACGAAGGGGGCUAGCGUUGCUCGGAAUUACUGGGCGUAAAGGGCGCGUAGGCGGCACUGUUAGUCAGGCGUGAAAGUCCUGGGCUCAACCUGGGAACUGCGCUUGAUACGGCAGAGCUAGAGGAUGGAAGAGGGUCGCGGAAUUCCCAGUGUAGAGGUGAAAUUCGUAGAUAUUGGGAAGAACACCGGUGGCGAAGGCGGCGACCUGGUCCAUUACUGACGCUGAGGAGCGAAAGCAUGGGGAGCGAACAGG
rnacentral:rRNA from 1 species